AUGAAGUUCAAUCCCUUUGUGACUUCCCACCAAAGCAAGAACUGCAAAAGACAUUUCAAUGCACCUUUCCACAUUUGCUUGAAGAUUAUGUCUUUCCCUCUCUCCAAAGAGCUGAAGCAGAAGUACAAGGUUUGAUCCAUGCCAUCCAAAAUGAUGAUGAAGUUCAGGUUGUGAAGGGACACUAUAAAGGUCAGCAAAUUGGCAAAGUAGUCCAGGUUUAGAGGAAGAAAUAUGUCAUCUACAUUGAAUGGGUGCAGUGGGAACGGCUAAUGGCACGACUGUCCAUGUGGGCAUUCACCUCAGCAAGGUGGUUAUUACUAGACUAGAACUGGAUAAAGACCGCAAAAAAGAUCCUUGAACGGAAAGCCAAAUCUCGCCAAGUAGGAAAUGAAAAGGGCAAAUACAAGGAAGAAACCAUUGAGAAGAUGCAAGAAUAAAGUGAUCUUAUAUACAACUUCCAGUAAAA